rnacentral:rRNA from 1 species
CCUACGGGUGGCUGCAGUGAGGAAUAUUGGUCAAUGGGCGGGAGCCUGAACCAGCCAAGCCGCGUGAGGGAAGAAGGUACAGCGUAUCGUAAACCUCUUUUAUCAGGGAAUAAAGUGUGGGACGUGUCCUAUUUUGUAUGUACCUUAUGAAUAAGGAUCGGCUAACUCCGUGCCAGCAGCCGCGGUAACACGGAGGAUCCGAGCGUUAUCCGGAUUUAUUGGGUUUAAAGGGUGCGUAGGCGGCCUUUUAAGUCGGCGGUGAAAGUGUGGGGCUCAACCAUAGAAUGGCCGUUGAAACUGGUGGGUUUGAGUAUGUGAGAGGCAGGCGGAAUGCGUGGUGUAGCGGUGAAAUGCUGAGAUAUCACGCAGAACCCCGAUUGCGAAGGCAGCAUGCCAGGCCAUGACUGACGCUGAUGCACGAAAGCGUGGGGAUCAAACAGGAUUAGAUACCCGAGUAGUC